CCUACGGGAGGCAACAGUGGGGAAUAUUGCACAAUGGGGGAAACCCUGAUGCAGCGACGCCGCGUGAGUGAAGAAGUAUUUCGGUAUGUAAAGCUCUAUUAGCAGGGAAGAAAAUGACGGUACCUGACUAAGAAGCCCCGGCUAACUACGUGCCAGCAGCCGCGGUAAUACGUAGGGGGCAAGCGUUAUCCGGAUUUACUGGGUGUAAAGGGAGCGUAGACGGCAGUACAAGUCUGGUGUGAAAUGCCGGUGCUUAACCACGGAACUGCAUUGGAAACUGUGCGGCUAGAGUGCAGGAGAGGUAAGUGGAAUUCUUGGUGUAGCGGUAAAAUGCGUAGAUAUUAAGAGGAACACUAGUGGCGAAGGCGACUUACUGGAAUGUAACUGACGUUGAGGCUCGAAAGCGUGGGGAGCAAACAGGAUUAGAUACCCCAGUAGUC
rnacentral:rRNA from 1 species